UAUCAAUAAGCGGAGCACAAGGGUCCCUGCAUUGCCCUAGGCUGGAACAUAGAGGGAUCCCUGCCUUGGGCUUGNAGUCUCGUCUAUGUUUCUUGAAACAGGACGUCCCAUAGGGUGAGAAUCCCGUGCGAUGAGAUGCCCAAUUCUAUGUAAGGUGCUUUCGAAGAGUCGAGUUGUUUGGGAAUGCAGCUCUAAGUGGGUGGUAAAUUCCAUCUAAAGCUAAAUAUUGGCGAGAGACCGAUAGCGAACAAGUACAGUGAUGGAAAGAUGAAAAGAACUUUGAAAAGAGAGUGAAAAAGUACGUGAAAUUGUUGAAAGGGAAGGGUUUGAGAUCAGACUCGAUAUUUUGUGAGCCUUGCCUUCGUGGCGGGGUGACCCGCAGCUUAUCGGGCCAGCAUCGGUUUGGGCGGUAGGAUAAUGGCGUAGGAAUGUGACUUUACUUCGGUGAAGUGUUAUAGCCUGCGUUGAUGCUGCCUGCCUAGACCGAGGACUGCGAUUUUAUCAAGGAUGCUGGCAUAAUGAUCCCAAACC
rnacentral:rRNA from 1 species